rnacentral:rRNA from 1 species
UACGUAGGGGGCAAGCGUUGUCCGGAAUUAUUGGGCGUAAAGCGCGCGCAGGCGGUCCUUUAAGUCAGUGCUGAAAUACUCCAGCUUAACUGGAGGGGUGGCAUUGAUACUGGAAGACUUGAGUAUAGUUGAGGUAGGCGGAAUUGACGGUGUAGCGGUGAAAUGCUUAGAUAUCGUCAAGAACACCGAUAGUGAAGACAGCUUACUAAACUAUAACUGACGCUGAGGCACGAAAGUGUGGGGAUCAAACAGG